rnacentral:snRNA from 1 species
AAGUGUGGAGGGCAAUCUGGCUGCAAUAUCUGUCAUACCACUGAUCACCAGGGUUGAUGAAGCUGAUCUGGCUAGCUAAGCCCGUGUCCCCUUCCUCCCUCACUGCUCCAUGUGUGUCCCUCCUGAAGCUGUGCGCUCAAAGAGGAUGACCUUCCCUGAUAGAGGAGGACCAUUCUUUGGUCAAGGGUAUAUCCAUUCCCUGGCUAGAACCUCCAAACAAGCUCUCAGGGUUCCAAUAUUAAAUUUUCACAGGAAAUUAAGGUAACUCUUGAAAAUAGGAUAUGUUCAAUGGGCAUUUGUUC